rnacentral:rRNA from 1 species
UUCGAAAGGAACGCUAAUACCGCAUACGUCCUACGGGAGAAAGUGGGGGAUCUUCGGACCUCACGCUAUCGGAUGAGCCUAGGUCGGAUUAGCUAGUUGGUGAGGUAAUGGCUCACCAAGCGACGAUCCGUAACUGGUCUGAGAGGAUGAUCAGUCACACUGGAACUGAGACACGGUCCAGACUCCUACGGGAGGCAGCAUGGGGAAUAUUGGACAAUGGGCGAAGCCUGAUCCAGCCAUGCCGCGUGUGUGAAGAAGGUCUUCGGAUUGUAAGCACUUUAAGUUGGGAGGAAGGGCUGUCGGCUAUACCCUGCAGUUUUGACGUUACCACAGAAUAAGCACCGGCUAACUUCGUGCCAGCAGCCGCGGUAAUACGAAGGGUGCAAGCGUUAAUCGGAAUUACUGGGCGUAAAGCGCGCGUAGUGUUCAGCAAGUUGGAUGUGAAAGCCCCGGGCUCAACCUGGGAACUGCAUCCAAAACUACUGAGCUAGAGUACGGUAGAGGGUGGUGGAAUUUCCUGUGUACGGUGAAAUGCGUAGAUAUAGGAAGGAACACCAGUGCGAAGGCGACCACCUGGACUGAUACUGACACUGAGGUGCGAAAGCGUGGGGAGCAAACAGGAUUAGAUACCUGGUAGUCCACGCCGUAAACGAUGUCAACUAGCUGUUG